rfam:Schistosoma rodhaini strain Burundi genome assembly, scaffold: SROB_scaffold0006447
GCACUGCUAUGGAGUCCCACAAUAGGACGAAACGGUCGUCCAGUGC